UAAUUGUGAAGUAUAACAACUAAUUUCGGGAUACGAACCGAAACUUCACGCCAACGGUAACUCGGGUAAAUUCUAACUAUUUUGAUAAUAACUUAAAUCACAAUAUAAAUGUCAAAGUAUUUCUUUUUUCUUGUUAGAAGUAAUAUAUAUUUCUUGUGGAUUUCUUGACUGCCUCUGCUGCAGUUUGAAUUUAACUUUACAAACGUAUAGUGAAGCCGUUACGCUUGUUCAAGAUGACAGGAAAGAGACCAUCAAAUGAAAGCCAAAGCAGUAGUGUAAAAAGGAGUCGGAAGGGGAUUACAUUGGACGUUAAGCUUGAUAUCUUACGUAGAUUUGAUGCAGGAGAAAAACUAAGUCACAUAGCAAAAUCGUUAAAGCUUGCAGCAUCUACAGUAGGAACAAUACGCGACAAUAAAGACAAAAUUAGGAAAAUUGCUCAAGCAACCACUCCUUUAACUGCCCGGACGUUGUUUUUCCAUAGAUCUGAUGUAAUGCUGAAGAUGGAACGGCUCCUAAGUGUGUGGAUCAAUGAACAGACCAAACACAAUGUGCCAAUAAGUGCUGUGGUCAUUCAGGCGAAAGCAAAAACUUUGUAUGAACAUUUGCAAGAAAAGGAAGGUGCAACUUCUGUUGUGAAGCCUUUCCUUGCUAGUAAAGGCUGGUUUGAAAGGUUUAAAAAACGUUUUAAAUUGCACAAAAUAAAAAUGAGCAAUGGAGCUGACAGUAUUGGCACCAAUAUUGAUAUAUGUGCUAAUAUAGAAGACACAAUGGCAAAUACCGAAGAUGAUGUAUAUGACGAUAUAGAGGCUGAUACAGAGGUUAAUAUAGAUGAUAGUACAGAGACUAAUAUAAAAAUUCAUUUAGAAGACAGUACUGAAGAUACAAAAAUUCAUAUAGAAGCUAAUGCAGGGGCUGAUAUGGUAGCUAAUACUAGUUAUAUUGAGAAACUAAAGAAGAUGAUUGUUGAAGGAGGCUACACACCAGAACAAGUGUACAAUGUUGAUGAAACUGGACUUUUCUGGAAGCGGAUGCCUACUGGGACUUUUAUUUCCAAUGAAGAAAAAUCAGCACCAGGCUUUAAAGUUUCCAAAGAUCGCCUGACACUUCUUGUGGGAGGAAAUGCUGCUGGUAACAUGAAAUUAAAGCCCCUACUUGUGUAUCACUCUGAAAACCCAAAAGCUUUCAAGGGUUAUGCUAAGUCUAAUCUACCUGUAAUAUGGCGUUCAAAUAAGAAGGCUUGGAUGACUACAAGCCUUUUCCAAGACUGGUUUACAAACUUCUUUUGCCCUGCUAUAGAAAUCUACAGUGCAAAGCGUAAUAUUUCCAACAAGGCAUUGCUACUUUUAGACAAUGCACCAAGCCACCCUGUGAACUUAAAUGAUCUUUCUGAUAAUGUGAGGGUGGAAUUUAUUCCCAAGAACACAGCUUCUUUACUCCAGCCAAUGGAUCAAGGUGUGGUAGCUCUCUUCAAAGCAUAUUACCACAGAAGGAUUUUUAAACAACUCAUAAAAGCCAUUGAUGGUGAGGAUAAAACUACAGUUAGAGACUAUUGGGCAAAGUUUAACAUUAUGAAUGCCGUAGAUAAUAUAGCUGAGUCAUGGAAUGAAAUAAAACUUUCAACAAUGAACAGUGUUUGGAAAAACAUAUGGCCAGACUGUGUCCGUGACUUUACAGAUUUUCCACCGGUAGAAAGUCUACAUCAAGUUCAGCAGGACAUUGUGACACUUGCAAAUAGUGCAGGCUUUGAAGAAGUCAAAGAAAAUGAUGUGAUUGAGUUAUUGGAGUCCCAUGGAGAAAGCUUGUCUAACGAGGAGCUGCUGCUGUUGGAACACGACCGAGCUGCAGAAGAAGAAGAGGAAGAUCUAGAAGCUGCCUCCACCCAGCUUCAGUUGAAUGUCGACCAUUUGGCUACAGGGUUGGCGCUUAUACAGGAAGGUCUCCAGAUCUUUGCUGAUAACGACCCCAAUCGUGAACGCAACAUCAAAGUUAUAAGAGGAGUUCAUAAUGAGCUCAGAUCCUACAUUGAACUGUACAAAGAAAAGUUACGCCAUUAUUCCCAAUAACUUCCAUUGCAUCAUCUUUUACCAUGCAGCAGCAAAAAUUUUUUCUGGUGAGUACAUCUAACAGUUAUAUUUAUUUGUUGUCCUCCUCAUUCUUUACUGUAGUCACACUCAAUGAGUCACACUCAAUGUAGUCACACUCAAUGAGAUUAAUCUUGUGAGUUGCAUAGUUUGUUCAUUCUCGAGCCAUGCCUGGCUCAUAAGGGCCGGUUUCCUGGUUUCUUGGCGUAUAGGUUCCCCACCUGGACGGGACGCCGGUGCAUCGCAGGUGAGCUGCAAGAUGCAGGAGGAAAGAGUGAGUGAAAGUUGUGGCGAAAGAGUCAGCAGAAGUUUCGCCAUUACCUUCUGCCGGAGCCAUGUGGAGCUUAGGUGUUUCGCUCAUAAACACACACAUCGUCCGGUCUGAGAUUCGAACCCGCGGUCCCUCGACCGCGAGUCCGCUGCUCUAACCACUAGGCCAUGUGCCUCCACACAGUUGCAUGGUGACCUCAUUAGUACUGGUGCCUUGAAAAAAACAGCAUCCUGUAUAUGCUGUAUAAUGGCGGCAAGCUGGCAGAAUCGUUAGCACGCCAGACAAACUGCUUAGCGGUAUUUCGUCUGCCGUUAUGUUCUGAGUUCAAAUUCCGCCGAGGUCGACUUUGCCUUUCAUCCUUUCGGGGUCGAUAAAUUAAGUACCAGUUACGCACUGGGGUCGAUGUAAUCGACUUAAUCCGUUUGUCUGUCCUUGUUUGUCCCCUCUGUGUUUAGCCCCUUGUGGGUAGUUAAGAAAUAGGCAUUAGGAAGAGUACCCAGUCAGAAACCAUACCAAAGCAGACAUUGAAAUUCAAUGCAGUCCUCCACCUUGCUAGAUCCUGUCAAACUUUCCAACCCAUGUCAACAUAGAAAACUGACUUUAAAAGAUGAUUAUAUGUAUGUCCUCAUGUGUGUGUGUGUACAUAUAAUUUAAAGUUAGCACAAGGCAUGAGGAUGCGGAAACAGCAUUGACCUGUUUAGAAAUAGGAGCUAAAUUCCGAAUUCAAUUGCCGGAAAGCACCAAAUAACAGAAAAACAAUGAUAGGCGAAGUAUCUAUUCUUUGCCAGUCUUCACACAUUAGAGCAAUGUGAAAUGAAGUGUUUUGCUCAUGAAGACAACAUGCUGCCUCAUCCACAAAUUGGGUCCCACAAUCUAGUAAUCGCGAGUGCAACACCCUAACAACUUGGCUAUGUACCUUCACAUCAUUUAUGAUACACAUACCCAAUUGUUUUUCAGCCGCAAGAGUAACUCAGGACUUAUGAAAGGAAAGCUUUCUAUUACUCAGAACAGCGCCACCCCGACUGGCCUUGUGCUGGUGGCACGUAAAAAGCACCAUCCGAUCGUGGCCAUUGCCAGCCUCGCCUGGCCCCCAUGCCGGUGGCACGUAAAAAGCACCAUCCGAUCGUGGCCAUUGCCAGCCUCGCCUGGCCCCCAUGCCGGUGGCACGUAAAAAGCACCAUCCGAUCGUGGCCAUUGCCAGCCUCGCCUGGCCCCCAUGCCAGUGGCACGUAAAAAGCACCAUCCGAUCGUGGCCGUUUGCCAGCCUCAUCUGGCACGUAAAAAGCACCCACUACACUCACGGAGUGGUUGGCAUUAGGAAGUGCAUCCAGCCAUAGAAACAUUGCCAGAUCAGACUGGGCCUGGUGCAGCCUUCUGGCUUCCCAGACCCCAGUUGAACCGUCCGACCCAUGCUAGCAUGGAAAACGGACGCUAAACGAUGAUGAUGAUGAUAUGAAACAAGGGCUAACUAAAAGACUGGAAACAAGCAUGGACAUUUAGGACAACUUCUGAAAAUGCUUUGGACAGGCCUUGUGAGUUUAAUGUCUUCACAAAAUAUGGGAUUAUGACUGCUAUUACCCAAAAUCUUCAAUUUCUGUCACGUUUUUUCUAUCAUCAUCAUCAUCAUCAUCAUCAUCGUUUAACGUCCGUUUUCCAUGCUAGCACGGGUUGGACGGUUCGACCGGGGUCUGGGAAGCCAGGAGGCUGCACCAGGCUCCAGUCUGAUCUGACAGUGUUUCUACAACUGGAUGCCCUUCCUAACGCCAACCACUCUGUGAGUGUAGUGGGUGCUUUUUACGUGCCACUAGCACAGGUGCCAGGGGAGGCUGGCAACGGCCACGUUCGGAUGGUGCUUUUUACAUGCCACUGGCACAGGUAUCACAAGGAUAUAUAUAAAGAAAACAGAAAAUGGAGAAGUACUGAUGAACAACAAUCGACUCACAUCAAUUACCAUUCAUUAACUUAAAGCAAAUUCAUAUAAUUUCUGUUUUCAUAUAAAUUGGUUGAAUCAUUGUAAGAGCUUUCAAUGUUUAUCAUCUCUUAGCAAACUUACUUAAUUGUAAUCUUUGAUGUGAAUUGAAAUUCUUUAUGCUUUCUUAUGUUCAAUAUUUUCACCAGAUACACAAAUACAUCUACAGAGAACAUGAUGACCUUUACAAGAGGUGAUGUCAGUGGAAUGAAUACCGGAAAAAAUACAAACCAUUCCAAAGCGACGAUGCAGGCGAAAUUGUUCCUUGUAGAUACAAACGGAAAAAUUCCACAGAAAAUUUCUAGCAGAGACCAAUCUGAGAAUCUCAUUCACUGAAUUUUGCUGCUACAUCCUUUUAAAGGUUGUGUACCCCUGUCUGCUUAUGAGACUGUAUGUGCAAACUACACAAGAAUCUAAGCUUUCUGGCAAAAAAGUUUCGUGAACUGAAACUGAUUGGGACUUCUGAUCUAGAGAGAUUUGCCAAACCUGUCUGUUGUGGUACUGCCAGCAGGCGUUGUAUGUAUAGAGUGUAGGAAAAGUACAAAGAGAAAACAGUUCUCUUCUAGAGUACAUAUGACAGUGCUAAAAAAGUGUUCUGUACCCAUUAAGGGACAGGUGAGAAGGUAAACAGAUACUUUCAGGUAGGGUCAAAAAAGAGAAAGGCUAACAGGGGCAACUUGUUGAAUAGUUUUACGUGUGUCUAAGUAAGUUCUAAAAGCUUUUCUUCGGUAUGAAGCAGUAAUAUACCUAUUUCUUUAUUGCCCGCAAGGGGCUAAACAUAGAGGGGACAAACAAGGACAGACAAAGGGAUUAAGUCGAUUAUAUCAACCCCAGUGCGUAACUGGUACUUAUUUAAUCGACCCCGGAAAGAUGAAAGGCAAAGUCGACCUCGGCGGAAUUUGAACACAGAACCUAGCUGUAGAUGAAAUACCGGUAAGCAUUUUGCCCGGCAUGCUAACGAUUCUGCCAGCUCGCCGCCUUAUACCAACUACCAAGAGCUAGGGUCUGAGAGAGCAGGGUCCGUGAGGAAUAUUUAAUCUACCUAGAUUUUUCUGGGAGUUUUAUUUACAAGUGCAAUCAUGAUAUCUAAGCAAUGCACUUUGGAUAAUCUCACAAAGAGGAUACACCACAUUGAUGGGUUUGUUUAUGCAGAUGGUAACCAAGAACAGACCUGCUUCUGCACAAUAUCCUUACCAAAACGCAAAACCUUCUGCAGCUGUAUUGAUUCAUAUGAAUGUUGUGUUGGGUUCUGCAGAAAAAUGUACCCUAAGGUUUCUGUGUUGGUCCUUAUUCCCACCACUUACAGAAGGGCAUUUUUCCUUCUGUCCAGCUGUAGUUUGGAGAUAUGAGGUGUCAAAGCAGAGAUUUGGAAUUUUUGAGGUGUGCCAUAGCACAUGACAUUAGUGUAGCUGUGAAUGGAACUGAGCAAUUGUAGUUUUUCAAAUUCAGGAAAGAUGGUUUUGCAACUUACUGAACAGUCUGCACAAACGAUGUGUUUAUAGCAAUCAAAUGGUUAUGCUGUACAUAAGUUCUCUCCCUUGAUGAAAUUAACAUUACCUGCAUACAGGUAAAUAGGGUAUUUAUACAUCAGAUGACAAAGUAACAUGAAAUGAAGUAUUUUGCUCAAGAGCACAAUGUGCUGCCUGGUCCAAGAAUUGAACCCACAAUCUUGUAAUCGUGAGUGCAACACACUUACCACUUGUGAAAGGUAGGAGAGUCCAGUUUGCUGGGCAAUGUUGUAGAGCUGAAAACGAGGCAAUUUCUACUCUUCUCCUCUGGAAGCCAUCUACUUGCAAUACCAGAGGGUGCACACACUCCUACCCUGAUGUAAUCUCCAGGGAUACAGGCAUCCAGCAACAGGACCUCCGUAAUGCCAUGAUGGACCGUGAAGUCUGGCGUAGCAUGGUAAAUUCCAUUGUCUCGACCACGGUCGAAAUGAUGAUGAUGAUGACCACUUGGCCCCACACCCUUGCUGAAUAACCAACACUCAUACUAAGUUGUUCUUUAUUCAUGAUGAAAUUCUUGAGUGGGUACCUGUAAACUUACCUUGGAACCAUGAGAAUAUAUCAGGAGGAAAUUAAUGAUUCAGGUGAGAUAAUACCUCACGAUGUCAGCUGUAGGUAGCUGUCCCAGAAAGUAUUUCCUUUCUGAGUGUUGGAUUGGAAUAACUAAUAUUUCAGCUAUGCUGUAAAGCUACCACCAUGAUGGUGCCAGCUACUGUGUCACGGGCCAGUCACAAAUCUUUUGAGAAGAUCCUGAAGUGUCAUACCAAGUGUGUACUCUCAUAUGAUGAAGAUUUAUAUGCAGAAGUAAUCCUUGACAGGGACGAACCCCCAUGUUCAAGUUAAAUUCUUGUUACCAUGUUGGACUAAACAAAUUGUUUGGGCCAAUUUGUGAAGAGGAUGUAUCAUGGUGUCUAUUUCCUCAUCAUAAGUUUCAGAUCAUCUCACUAUCAUCAUGAGACAUGGAAGUGUGGCCAGGCUUUUUAAAUAAUGGUAUCCAAUUUUGAUAAAUGGUCAGCAAUCUUAGGGGAGAGAUAAGUCAAUUACAUCAGUGCCGGUGGCACAUAAAAUGCACCAAUCCGAUCGUGGUCAUUGCCAGCCUCGCCUGGCACCUGUGCAGGUGGCACGUAAAAAGCACUCACUACACUCACG
rnacentral:lncRNA from 1 species